rnacentral:lncRNA from 1 species
UUUAAGGAAAUUGCCUAUAAAAUGGCGAUUGAAUGGGUAUCCACUCUUACCCACCGCACUCUUGACUAGUGGAGGGUCGUUAGCCGAACGGGUAGGAUAGGACAAAACCUUCCAUUAUAAGUAUAAUAAAGUAUAAAAGUAACUAAAUGUUUUCAUAAAAUUCCCAAUCUUAGUUACUUAGGCAAAAGUGAAUUGAUGCAAUUCCAUGAAAUUACACUUUGUGCCCUUGCGAAGACGUUAGUGGAGCGUGUGUGGUUUACCGGCACACUAAAUGGUUCUAAGAAAAGGUAUCAAAGGGUGACUCAAUGUUUGUCAUAGUUCGGUGGAGCUUGUGUGGUUUAUCGGCACAUCGAAUAGGUGACUGUAACAUGUGAGGGCACCAUGUAAGUUUGCAUGGUUAUUCACACCUGCUUUGUGAUCCUCGGCAUCCCAGUCACAAACAAGAGGGGCAUAUCGAGAUUUAAAUAUGCCAUUGAAAGUUCAAUGAAUCUCAAAGGAUCUAGGAGUUUUCAUAGAUUUAAAACUUAAAUUUCUUUUUUUCAUUUUUCGUGGUGGAAAUUAGUGAAUCGUCAUUCACUUACCUUCAAAUAUUCUGCAAUUAGGGUUACGACAUCCCUCUCCCGAGUUGUAGAAUAUUGUGUUGGGUCCUAGCCUUAGUAUCUCAUUUGGGUGAUUUACUAAGGACUCAAUCAAUCAACUAACUUGAAUUCGUUUUCCUCCCGUUUUGUAGAUGUCAAAGUUCGACAACUAUGGUCUUCCCAAAUCCCGUGGAACAAGCAUUCCACAUGAAGAUGGUAUUCCACGAUUCAAUCGAGGAACGAGAAAUCAUGCUUCACUUCCUCCUCCUCCUCCUAUUGUUCUCCCCAACCCACAAGAUCGAAGAAUUGAAAGGUUCAAUAUCACUAAAGCCCUAUUGGAAAUGAAACAUGAAGAUGGUAAACCCGUGUGUGCCCACGUUCUAGGAAUGAAAUCACACAUUGAUAGGUUGAUAAUGUUGGGUGUGUCAUUCCCAGAUGAGUUGGCUGUGAAUUGGGUUUUGCAGUCACUUCCUGAAUCAUAUAAUGAGUUCAAAAGAAAGUAUUAUAUGAUGAAUCAUGACGACAACCUCAUUGACCUAACUUACAUGCUCAUUGCUGCUGAAUCAGAAAUGAUUUGGCAAAGCAAUGUAGCAUAUUUGUUGGGAAAUUCAACCAACCAUGCUUCCAAGGACGUUCUAGGAGAACCAACCUGCUUUUACUGCCAAAAGAAAGGGCGUUGGAUACAAGUCUGCCCAAAGAGCCUGAAGAGUCCAGAAGAUGGGAGAGUCAAAGAGUAUGGCUGCGCUUCAGGUAAAAUCCACUAUCUAACUCCAUUAAGUUCCUAUUCAUUAAUUCUUAAUACAUAAUGUAAUAAGAUUGCAUUUGAAUGUUUUACAGGAUCGGUGAAAAGAAAGGAAGCUUGGUGAAAGAGCAAGAUGAAUCUAAUCACAAGGAAUGGAUCUUGAUCGCAUGGACUUGAAGAUUAGAUUUUGAUCUUAGAUAGUUAUGAUAGAGUUGUUAGAAAUUUUUUGAAAUACAUAGUUUUCAAUGGAUUUUGCAUUGUAAGGACAAAUGUUUUCCGCUGCUUUUAUAAAUAAAAUAAAUUUUCGUUUUACUUAUUUAUUUGUUUAUUUCCUUGUAAUGAAAUCGUUAUGAAAAUUGGUGUUUGCAUAUUUCUACAACAAAUGAAUUUGGUUCUUAUUAUAUUUAUGGAAAGUCAAGAAUUUACCAAAUAAGGAGAGUUUCUCAUCGCCCAAGUUUCAAUUGGACAGAAAUUUGGAAUCAUACAACAUGGUUGCACGAUGAAUGAGAAAUUUAAUAUUUGGAAAUUAGACUUAUUCAUUGACAAAGUGUCAAGUGAAGGACUAGGAGAUCGAGUACACAAAGUUGCGUGUUGAUCAAGUUCACCAUAAGAGUAACAAAUAUAUUCAUCAUGAUUUACUAAAGGUUUAGUAAAUGUGAUUAUACUUACAAGAUUAAGUGUAAUUCUGAAUUGAUUAAAGGGUUUAGAUCAAUAGCAGAACGAAUAAGAAGAAUCAAGUAGGCAGAAAGAUAAAAGUUUCUCCAUUCUAAGAAGAAGGGAGAGUACCUUUUAUGCUUUAUGAUAGGUCUUAAUGAUUAAGAACCAUAUCUCAAUUGAUCCUCUAAGUGAGUCUUAGUACAAUUGUAUGUCUAAGAAGAGGAAUCAAGAAUUGAAGAAAUGGUUAAAUCAAGAAGUCAAUCAUACUUCGUUCCAAAACAAGUCUCAGAGUUAAGAUUGUGACAUUGAGUGAUAAGUAUAAAGAAGGUUUAUAACAUUCAUUAAAUGUGGAAAGUUGUGAUGUCUUGGAUAAGACAAAGACCAACUAGGACCAAUUUAUGAAGUGUUUUGAUAAAAGCUACACUAACUCUUGAAUAUUUGUUUGUCAAGAAAUGGUUAUUGACAAGAGAAUCUUAUAUGUCAAGGAGUCAGUGGGAGUCUUAAUGGUCUUGAAAGGUUUCAAGAACAAAUCAAAUAAACCUUAUCGAUCAUCACUAGCACACGAGUUGAGGUUUACAACCUAUCGUGUUGACAUUAUUUUGAUUCUGUGCCAAUCCAAUCGAGUUAAUUAUGCAUGUGAGUUCUAUGAGUUCUCAUUUUGAACGCAUAAAAGGCAAAGCACCUUAAUCAAUGAAAGGUACAUUGAUAAGAAAAGGUGAGCUGCUUAACUACUUGGAAGACAUGGUGGGCAGCUGUGCUACCAUAAGGCAAGAAAUCAAGAUUAAGAAAGUUCGGUCCAUAUGAGUUUGAAUUUGUCGUAAACUUUAGUUUUAACAAAUUCACAUGGAUAAGAACACAUACACCGCUCAAAUCUAAGUGUCAUAAGAUUUCCUCCUUCAUGAAAAUGAUUGUGAAGAAAUGCUUUCACUAAGAGAGAUUUUAAGAAGAUAGUGAUUGUAAAAUUGCAUUCUCAAAUUCAAUCAUGGUUACGGCAUCCCUUUCCAUAAUUUGAAUUGUGAGGUUUGGCAAUUAGUCUUAAUUGUUUAGACACACAUAUGAACUAUCGAAGGCAAAGGUGUAUAAGUUCAAGAAGCAUUGAUAAAGGAUUAUCAAAGCACUAAGUAUUAGAAACAUGAACUUAAGAAAUUCAAUAAGUUUUUUUUUCUGAAAGUUAAGAUGUUUAUGAAUACAUGUCGAAGCUAGUGGGAGCAUAAGUGUUAUGUUUUAUAAUAAUCAUCAUGAUAGUGGGAGCAUAAAUGUUAUGAUUGUAUGAUUAUUAAGGAAAGUAUUGCAAGGUUAGCAAUAUUAAUUAUAGAAAACAAGAGUCAUACUUUGCAAAGUUGUAAGAGUUGAAAAGUUGUUUUGCUAUAAUUAAGGGAGAGAAUAUUAUGCUUCAUUUCAAAUCUAAAGGAUUAGGUUGAGAAAUGUUAAUAAAUUUAGUCAAAGGUACAUAGUGUGUUCUUAAAAUUUCGAUUAUGAUUACGGCAUUCCUCUUCACAAUUCGAAUUUUGAGAACAUAGCAAAUAAAACAUUAUGCGUCGUGUCCCAUACGCUUCGGGUAUAGGAUCGAUUGCAAAUGCUUUAAUGUUUGACCAUUCUAAAAUUUUCCAAAUGUCGAGCGCAUUUAGAGGGAAAAGGGACUAGAAUCGGUUUUGACUAAAAUAAUUAAACAACUAUCAAAGGACAAUUCAAAGUUCGACGAGGAUUGGUCGCUUGUGAGUAGUUGGAAGUAUAGUAUUGGAAAAUAUGGAAAUGUUUCCAUAUUGGAUGGACCAUAUCGACAUCAUUACGAAUAGAUAAGAUUCUAUUAAGAAUGAGUUGUCAUAUGGAAAAUAUGGAAGCGUGUCCAUAUUGGGAAUUGAAUAUUGAAAAUCUAUGUCUAGAUUAGAAACUUUUAUGCAAAAGGAUGUUCAAAGGAAUGUACUUUGAGUGAGAGACAUCAUAUCUAAGGAAUUGUCUUGUAACAAUCUCCGAUAGAGGACUUUGUAAUAUCAUUGGCAAUAGUCUUUGUGACUUUGGUGCAGUGACAUUACGAAAGGAUCAUUGCAUAAAAUGUUAGAAUCUAGCAUAUUCUAUAAGUAGCAAGAAUUUGAUAUUCUUACACUUAUGAAAAAGGAUUUGGAGUUGUGAAAUGAGAAUGAUUGGAAAUGUGUUCAAUUUGAUCUAUUUCACAAAGUAAGAACCAUAGGUAAACAUUGUGUGCAUGCUAGGAGCAUGGGACAAGUGUAAUAAUUCAAGUAAGAAGUUGAUUACCCGAAACGACAAAUAAUGAGUAAUCGAUAUGGUGAUAAAUAAAAGGUGUUUUAUUUAUACUCAAAGGUUUGAGGCCAUAUGGGAUUAGUAUUAUUCUUGUGUUUCACAUUUGCAUGUUUUGACUUCCAGAAUAAUUGAGUUUAUUAAGAAUAAUCGAAUUAUUCGAACGGGCCACAGUCGUUCAUAUGUUGGAAGUAGAUAUGAAUGAAGACUGUCGUGAAUUGGUGUGUGGAUUGUCUUAAAGAGUAUUAGACAUAAGCAAAUGUUUGCUGCAACGUUCAUGAGUGCUUAUGAAUAUGAUUUGAGCAUUGGAUUAAACCCACGCUCACUUGGAUCACUCCAUGAAUUGUAUCACGAGUGAUUGGUGAGACGAUAACAUCUUAUAUUCUUGAAACCGAGAUGUGUGAGUUGUAUCUUGCAAAUCGGUUGCACAUUGAUAAUAUGUAAACGCACUAGUAACUUGGUGUUAUAAAACAUAUUGUUGUGUGUGAUUCGGUGAGUGAGUGCAAGCAAGCAUUGUAUCAAAGUUUAUCCGUUCCUUUUAUCCAAAGUAGGAUAAAAGCGAUAUCUUUGGGCCCCUCGAUGAUUUAGUGAUGACAAACGUAAAUGCUCGGCCGGGCUAGGGCUAAUUUGAUUUGUUCAAUUAGUCAGUCGUCAUAAAUCGGGAAUCGAGAUAUAGUACAAAGAGAAUGAUUUGAAAUCAUAUCUCAUAUGAUAUCUAGAAUGGAGGAAUAUAUGAUCCCUUAUCUAAGGACACGCGUAUCUGAUAGGAUCAGAGUUGACAGCGGCUUUGGAAAGCUACGAUUGCAGAUCAGGAUCUGAAGUCAUACGCAGAAUAGUUAUUAGACUUAUCCAAGUGGGAGACUGUUGGAUUAGUGUCUAAGUCCAUAACUAUUUUGGUAUGUACUUGACCCGAUGGUGCAUGGUCCUUUUGGGUUGCCUUCACCAAAGCAACUUGAUAGGAUGAAUUAUGGAGAGAAAGGAUUAAAUAUGAUUUAUUAAUAUAUUAUGGGAAUAAUAUAUUAAAGGAGAAAUCAUAUUGUUUAAUUAAUAUUAGUCAAUAAUUAAUUGGUAAUUAGUUUUGUGACUAAAAGAGAUUAAUUAAACUUAAGGGACUGGAAUUGUAAUUAUAAGAUAAUUGCAAUUUGGGCCAUGGAUUGUCUUAAAUCAAGAGGUGGACGAAUUCUUAUGGGAAGCCCAUAAGGAAAUCGUCCAAGGGCUUGAUUAAAGGAGUCUAUGGGUUGCUUAGGGCUUAAGCAACCAAAUUAGGGUUUCCUUGUUAGAUAACCCUAAUAGCCUCACUAUAUAUAGAACCCUUAAGGCUCAAAAACGUGGGGAACUUAUUUUCUAGGGUUAGAACACGUUUUGGGCAGCCUCCAUCCUCUCUCCUCUUCAUCCUCUUGCUUAUGGUGUUUGUGAACCAUUAGAGGAGUGACACUUGUGACUCUAAGCCUUCCAAAGUCAAUUCAAGGAGGAAUUGGGAUUGUUAUUGCUACAUAACAAUCAAGGUAACAUUAUAAACUUAUUCUAAUAUCUAAUAUGAUUACUUGUAUGCUAGAAUUAGGGUUUAUAGUCUUGGAUUCAAAGCAUGUACAAUAGAGAAACCUAGAUCCAAGCAUUAGGGUUUGUAUGAGCACAUAGGAUGUCUUAUGACCAGAACCCAUCAGAUACUUGUCCAUUGUCCACUUUGUGACCAGUGUCCAGAAUCUGGCAUAAGAUAUUUCAGAAUGAUGAGAAGUAGAAGCGAGGAUUUGAAUCAACUGCUUCCAUAAAAUCGAGCCAUAGUCGAGACUGACGCCGUGGUACAGCCCGUAGAGAAUUGUCAUAAACAGUCGGCUAGCCCCAUCAGAACCUGCACUACGUUCUGAUAAUCCUUUGAACAACACAGUGAAGAAGCCAUUCCACUGAGGAGGAAGACAUGAUUUCUUGAACUUGGUAACAGNAGUGGUUAGAUCUCGGUGUAACCCAUGUUGUAAAACAUGGAGAACAACUGUCCCACAAGAAUAGACUUAGGGUUAACCCUUGACUCAUCAGGAUCGAACCCUAGAAGCGAACAAAAUCGCUGUUUGGAGAUGGAGGUUUUGGUAUCAAGAAUGUCGAAGAAUAUGCGAUCGACAGACUUGUCAUAGUGGGCAGUUGAGAAGAUCUGCGACAAGCACUCCAAUGGAACGAUUUCAGCCUUGGUUAAUGCUUGAACCAUUGGAGAGUGCUUAAGACACUCCACAAUUGGGAACAUGAAGGCGUCGUAGGCAUGUGGGGUGAGAUCAAUAAUCAGGCUUUGCUGAGUUCGGAUAGGCAGAAUGUGGGAGGUUGCGUGAACAGAAGAAGAAUCCGCCAUUGAAGAGUGUUUCGGGGAAAAAGAUGAACAGUGGGAGAAAGUAAUUGUUUCUUGCUCUCUGAAUAUUGGGUGCAGUAAAGAGGUAAAAGACCUUAGGGUUUUCCCUUUAUACCGUGGGUAGAGGAGAGAGAAGAAUCUGCCCCCAAAUCUUCUGGAAAAUCGAGGCGUUUCUUGAGUUGAUUGACGAAUGACAGUUUAGCAACCCCUAUGAUUACGCAUGAGAGAGAAAAACUCUUCCGUUUUGCACGCUUUCCCAUCAAAUGCCCUUUUGAAUACCAAAACGUUUAGACUUUCGGCUGAGUCAGCAACAUAUCCUUUUAAAAUGAGCCAUCUUUAUAGAUAAAAGUGAACACAUGUAGCAUUAACAACAACAUCCCAUUUAGAAUAUAGCAUUAAAUCCCGGAGCCAAAAAAUAGCUUAUAAUGAAGGAAACCAGAUUUUUGGAAAAUCAAAAAGAUUUUCGUGCAUAGAGUGUCAAAGAUAAAGAAAUAAAUAUACAUAUAUGUGGGAAUUUGUGAUGUCAAUAGAGACACAAAACUGUGGAUCCCGGGCACGAAUCUCUUCCUUCAAAGUCAAGAGAGACCUUAAAGUGUUUGUUACGAUCAAUCACUAGUUAAGAAGUGUUGAAAGGCAUCUUUUAAUGAGGCUUAUUGGGAGGCUUUCGCUUUAGUUCAGAAUUCCUGAUCUUAACAUAAGACAGAAAUCGACUGAAGAACUUGUGAGACCAAUGUGGUCUGUUGAACAAGUAGGUUUGGAUGAUGUGAUAGUGACUCGUUGGAAAUACUAGAUGUGAAAUCUCGAGAAAAAGUAAAAACUGGAUUCUAAGGGAAGAAAUGUUAUGGUAUGUAACAAUUUCAUAAGAAUCAAACAAAGAGAAAAUUAGAGAUUUCAUGGUACAACCACUUGGGUGUAUUCGUUAAUUCAUAAGUGAAAGCUAAAGCAAAUUUAAUUUGUUCACCGUCAAUGCAUAGUAGGUAUUGAAUUGUGGGUUUCACUUAGCACGUAGUGACAUGAAGCUAAGAUCACAAACACAGAGAUUGUGUAACCAUAAACCUCAGUGGUAAUUUUUGAGAGUCUCAAGGGUUACUUGUAUGAAGCGAAUAUGAUGGAGAAAAAUAUUUGAGGAGGUGUAAAGAAACCAAAGUACCUCUGCUACAAAAAUAGUGAACAAGCAGAAAACUCUUAUCUCAUAUGAGAAAAGAGUAAGGUAGCUCAUGAUUAGAAUAAAUGUAUCAGCCUAAUUGGGAAGACAAGGUUUGUAUAUACCAAGUCAGUAAGGCUUUAUUCAAAAUCAGUUGAGGCUUUAGACAACAUGCAGCAGCAUGCUGCUAGGGACACUUAGCUAUUAAAAAGUGUGAGAAUGAUACCUGCCCCAUCGAUAAUCCAUAAACGGUGAAUAGAAACAGAAGUAGAAACAAAAAAAAAAUAUAUUUUUGGAGUUUUUGAUAAUUUGGUAAAGAGAAAAACAAAACAAAACAAACCAACCAGAAAAAAUUUUUGGAACCGAACCCGAAAUAGACCGAACGUUCGGUUCAUUUUGGUUGCUAAUUUUUUUUUUGGAAUUAACAAGAUUUGGAAAACAAUUGUACAAAGGUUUACAGCCAAAGAUACCAUCUUUUUGAGAUAAUCGAAGACAAGUGCAAUGGGACCGAACCCGAAAUAGACCGAGCGUUCGGUUCAUUUCGGUUCCCAUGUGAACCGAGCCCGAAAUAGACCGAGCGUUCGGUUCAUUUGGCUUCCAACUUUUAGUUCUGAGAAGGUGUUUUUGGUACUGACUCCGAUUCCAUCAUACCUAGGCCUUGUAGGAUUUUAUUGAAACUUGCUUCAGGAAGGGCUUUGGUGAAGAUGUCGGCCAGUUGAUCAGUGGUUCGAACAAAGUGAAUCUCUACGUUUCCGUCUUCCACAUGAUCCUUAAUAAAGUGAUACCGCAAUGCAAUAUGUUUGGUCUUGGAGUGUUGCACCGGGUUAUGACAAAUCCUGAUUGCACUUUCUGAGUCGCAAUAUAGAGGAAUCUUUUUCAUAUUGAGUCUAUAGUCCCGGAGUUGGCUUUGGAUCCAAAUCACUUGAGAUGUGCAGGAGGCGGCUGCAAUGUACUCUGCUUCAGCUGUAAACAGAGAAACACAUGUUUGUUUCUUAGAUUGCCAGCUCACCAACUUCCCGUCGAGGAACUGACAGCCUCCUGUAGUGCUUUUCCUGUCUAAACCACAUCCUCCAAGGUCUGCAUUUGAGUAGGCUUGAACAAAGAAACCUGAGUUUGAGGGAUACUAGAGACCAAGAGAGGUGGUUCGCUUCAAAUACCGGAGUAUAUUCUUUACUGCCAGCAUGUGUGGUUCACGAGGAUUUGCUUGAAACCUGGCACAAUAGCACACAGAAAACAUUAUAUAUGGCCUGCUAGCUGUGAGGUACAUCAGGGAACCAAUAAUUUGGCGAUAUAGCGUUAUGUCAACUGCCGGUUUUUCCAAAGAUGGUGUAAGCUUGGUACCGAACGCCAUAGGGACUUUGACUUUUGAAUCUCCCAUCAUGCCGAAUUUAGCAAGAAGAGUCUUGGUAUAUGCUUCCUGGUUUAUAAAGAUGCCUUCGGGUCCCUGUCUAAUAUUUAAACCAAGGAAAAAGUUAAUCGGACCCAUUGAGCUCAUUUCAAAUUUUGUCUCCAUCAGCUUUCUGAAUUCAGCUGUUAAGCUAGGAUUCGUUGAGCCAAAGAUGAUAUCAUCGACAUAGAUUUGAACAAUCAUAAGGUGGUUACCUUCCUUCUUACGAAAGAAGGUUGGGUCAACCGAACCUUGUUUGAAUUUGGACAUCUUUAAAAACUUGGUUAGCGUUUCAUACCAGGCCCUAGGUGCUUGUUUCAGCCCAUAAACCGCUUUGUCCAGAAUAUAGCAGUGAUUGGGGUNCAGGAGGUUGCUCCACGUACACAGUUUCUUCAAGCUCCCCAUUCAGAAAAGGGCACUUUACAUCCAUUUGGUAGACCUCGAAAUUCUUGUGUGCAGCAUAGGCAAGAAAUAUUCGAACAGAUUCCAGCCUUGCUACCGGAGCAAUUGUCUCUUCGUAAUCAAUUCCUUCUUCCUGGUAGUAUCCUUUUACCACUAGCCGAGUCUUAUUUUGAAUCACAUUACCCUCCUUAUCCAUUUUGUUUCUGAAUACCCAUUUGAGACCUACGACUGAGGCAUCUUUCGGUGUUGGAAUAAGACGCCAGACCUUAUUUCUUUCGAAAUCAUUGAGUUCAUCUUGCAUUUCCUGAACCCAAUCAGAAUGAUCGAGAGCAAUAUUGACGGUCUUCGGCUCAAUUUUGUACACGAACAAAUUAAACAUGCAUAACUCUACUUUGGAGAACAAAGCGGUUUGUUUCGCCUUCAGUUGUGAACGAGUUAGAACUUUCUCUGAUGCGUCACCCACUAUUUGAGAUACAGGAUGAUCUCUGGUCCAUUUGGUGAGAGGAAGAUAAUUUGGGUCAUAGGACGGAUCCAAUUCAACAUUCACCAUUUCUUCUAAUUCUGAUUGAGUAUCAUCGUCAUAGAGCAUAUCAGAAUUCUCCCCCUCGACAAAUGAUGAAUCAUUUGGAUUUGAUCCAAAAAUUCUUUCUUCAACCGGACUUUCGGUUGUCACUGGACUUUCGGGUGUAGCUGGGCUUUCGGGUGCUACAGGACUUUCGGGUGCUACUGGACUUUCGGGUCCGUCAAUGAUUGGAUUCUCCCCCAGAAUGUGUGAGUCCUGUUGUUUUGAAGAGGAUUGAUUGUCCCCCUCGACCGAAGUACUGCUCUGGGGAGGUUUGUUUCGAAAUGGGUCUCCUUCUCCCAUUUGUUUGGCUGCAUCUUCGAUAAUCUGCUUAAGGUGAUCGAUUUUGUUGUCUGUUGCCAUGGCUUCCGAAAGAGUGGCUUUCUCAGGUUCAUCAAAUAAGUCUAUGAACUGGUCAAAUAGAUUGGCGAUUGAAGUUGUGACUUGACCUGUUUGAGAGAAAAUCUCUCCAAUUGCUUCUUCGGUAGACUUUAGCUUCUUGACGUAAUUGUCAUCGAAUGUCACAUAAUAGGUUUCUUCAAUUCUUUUAGAACGCUUAUUCAAAACCCUGUAUGCCUUUGAAGUAGGAGAAUAUCCCAGAAAGAUUCAUUCAUCAGCUUUGACAUCAAACUUGUUGCGAUGUUCUUUGGAGUUGAAGAUGAAGCACCUGGAACCGAACACGUGAAAGAACUUGACAUUCGGCUUCCUGUUGUUAAUAAUCUCAUAAGGAGUGAGAGAGAAACGCUUGUUGAGAUAAGACCUAUUCUGAGUAAAACAUGUUGCAGCAAUAGCGUCAGCCCAGAAAUAUAAAGGAAGAGAAGCAAAACUUAGCAUGGUUCGGGCCGCCUCAUACAGGGAUCAGUUUCUCCUUUCGACAAUUCCGUUCUGUUGAGGUGUAUAGGGGGCUGAGAAAUUAUGACUGGUGCCUUUUUCAGUUAACAAAUCUUCAAAUUCUUUGUUCUUGAAUUCCAGUCCAUUGUUGCUCCUGAUGUUUCGAACGACUUUCCUCAGUUGCACUUCGACUUUCUUGAUAAAGAUCUUCAGCUUGGGAGUCGCCUCAGAUUUGUGCUUUAGAAAGAAUACCCAAGUAAAACGUGAGAAGUCAUCAACAAUAACAAGGAUAUACUUGUUACCGCCAAUGCUCUCGAUUGAUAAUGGACCACAUAAGUCGAUGUGAAGCAACUCAAGUGGUUCAACAACUUUGGUGUUUAUGAUGGUUGGGUGACUUUGACGACUUUGUUUUCCCAUUUCACAUGCAGCACAUAAGUGUUCUCGAUCAAACUUAAGCAAUGGAAGACCCCGAACAUGACCGGCGGUGACAAGCUUGUUGAUGUCUUUGAAAUUGAGAUGUGAAAGCCUUCGGUGCCAUAACCAACUUUCGUCUGAAUGAGCUUUGGACAAAAGACAUAUGGCUGGAUUACCUUUGAUUGGUCUGAGAUCCAGAGGGAACAUUUCACCUUUUUAAUCUGAUUUGAGAAUGACUCUGUUGGAUUUCUUCUCUAUAAUUUCUGAACCUUCGUCGUCGAACGAGACUUUGAGACCGGUACCUCCUACUAGUUGAGAUACACUGAUGAGGUUAUGCUGCAACCCUUCUACAUAAGCCACCUUCCUUAUUGUAAAGUCUCCAUUGGUUAUCAUUCCAUAACCCUUUAUUGUCCCAUAAGAGUUGUUACCGAACUUGACAUUGCCACCAUUUUGAAGUGACCGAAACUCCCUUAGCUCUUCCUUCCUUCCUGUCAUGUGACGUGAGCAGCCACUGUCUAUGUACCAUUCGUCGUUAAACUGCUCGUCACUAAUAACCUGCAAAAAUUAGGCAGAUUUAGGAACCCAAAGUUUCUUGGGUCCACGGGAGCUUUUUACAGAAACAGGAAUAGUAAGAGAAACAUCAAUGAGAUAUGUUCGUUUUAUUAAGGUUGUUUCAUCUUUCCUUCUAAUAGUAAAUACUUUGAUUUUAUUAGAAUUAGAUGCAGGUGUUUUGGAUUCGGGUUCUGGUGAUUGGACUUUAGCCUGCUUUCGGUCUUCAUUAGCUGAGGAAAUCUUCCUUUUUCCUUUCAAAUCUGUUGACGAUCUUGAAUUUGGUGUAGGACCAGAAUUAGGCUUAGAAGAAGAUUGAGAACGAGAAGAAGUAGAGGAAAAGAAAUUGGAAUGAGAAGCUGUGACAACCCGAAAAUUUCUAGCUUGCAUUCUUCAUUUCCUAUCAACAAUAGACUCGUUUUGCUAUCUUGUAGUACCAUUUAGGGUCUAUUGGAGUGUUCUAAACGUGUUAUAAUCAAGGUAGGAGUGUUAAAAAGGGUUAACUCGAAGUGUAGGAAUCAAAACCGGGCCAAACACUCCAACACAUGGAGUGUGCGGCUACACACUUGAGUGUGCGGCCACACACAUGUGUUUGCGGCCUCACACCCUUCCCAACCGCACACUCCACCUAUAUAUACCACACUUAGUCAUUUUUGAACACUUCUUUCACUUCUUCAAGCAUAGAACUUGAAAAUCCUCACAAGUAUCAUCCAUUCUCCUUGAAGAUCUUCAUAAAAGGUACCAAGAACACCAUCUGGCCGCACACAUGGCAGCACACACCAUCUGGCAGCACACAUGGCCGCACACAUGUGCUGGUAGCACACUAGGCCGCACACCUGGCCGCACACACACAUAGAGUGUGUAUUUUGGCCAUACACUCCAUUGUACAGCCUUAUACCCCCUUCAUACAAUCAUAUAUGGUUGUAAAACUUCAUUAUAAGUGUUUACUAGUCCCUAAGGUGGUCCCAAUUCAUUAAUUAGUUGUUCAUAACACUAAUUAUAUUCAUAUAUGUGUGAAUAUAUGCUAAACAGGAUUCGCGUGUGUACUCAAGCCACCACUUGAUACUUAGCAACUGAUCCAACAUUUUCGCCAGAACCACUCACUACAGGUGAGUUCAUACCCCUUAAAUAAUGUUUUAAGCUACUUUUAAAUGUUUUAUGGGGGGGAUACAAGUAGAAUUAUGCUAGUUAUUAUAUCAAUCACAUGUGAUUAAUAAGUAGCAUUCUAAAGAUUGGCUACUCUUUAGCCGUUUUACUAAAAGUUUCCUUCAAAUGUCUUUCAUAAACACUAUGUCACACCCCCAAACCAGAACGACGGAAACGUUCAGGGGCGGAGGAUGUCAUAUUCAGUAUCAUAACAGUUCAUAGAAAGGAAAGUACACACCACCAUAUAUAUUAAAGUUUCCAAAAUGUUUACAUAAUUGUAUUCGUUACAUGUUCAAAAGUUAAAUACAUAAACAUCUUUCAAAAGAAGUAAUUAACGUCAACACGUUAAUCCCCAAAAGUUGAUUUCCAAAUCUGCUUAGCGGAUCCCUGAGAAUACAAGUUAUUUCAAAGAGAAAGUGUCAACAAUUAAGUUGGUGAGUUCAUGAGCAGUGUUUUGAGAAAAUGUACACCAUUCGAAAGUUCGUGUAUGUCUUCCAGAAAACGCAGUAUUUCAAAUGUAAAGAGUUAUGAUUCGUUGUGUUGAAAAUGAAUGUAUUAGAUCUAGAAAAUCCCAUAUUUUCCCUAAUAGUUGAGAUAUGAAUUGUUGUGUUUUCCAAGAAAAACCCUUAUUUUCUUAUAAAAGUAUGAAAUGCAUAUGGAUGUUCGUGUUAUAAGUUGUAAAUAAUUGCACCAGGAAAAUCCCUUAUUUUCCUAUUAGUUGUUUGGUUUGUAUACAGGAGAAACCCUUAUUUUCCUAACAUAACUGGCAGUCUCCAAGAACGAAAAUCGCAAGCAACCGACGUGCAUAAAAGUUGUGUCACAGUUUUAUAUAAUAAAGCUAUACGAAGAUCGUACUUGUUAGAUGAAGAAUAGUUUUAAUAGCUACUCAUUCAUAAAAGCAUAAUACCAUAAUAAUUGUAUAUCCGGUGAGUUUUAUAACCAUACUAAACAUAAUAUGCCUGUAGCGACGUUCUUCAGGCGUCGUAGCGUUAUGACAAACUGUCACCCCAAAGGACGGACUGUAGCUAACAGUCAGGGCGCGGGAUCAUGACUUCCCGUAUAGAUCUAUACACAUUUGACACGUUCUCCGAACGGGAGACUCUGGUUAUAGACAGGACUUGUAGCGAUACCUUUUAGCAAAAAGGCAGUGUUUGAAGAUGUACACGUCUCAUGGAUUCUCAACUAAGUCUGUAUUAAAGUAGUAGUUUUGUAUGCAAAGUUUAUCCUUUUUCACAAUGUUUGACAAAGCAUAAAUCAUAAGUUCUUUGAAUGCAUAAAAUGAUUUAGUAAAGAAUGUUACCCUUGAUAUGAUGUAUUUGUAUGUAAACGUAUAAUUAAAACAUAUUUCUAUUUAUAAAACAUAUUGUAUCCCAAGAGGGUAAAGCUGUGUUGUAAGGUGUUUUGCAUGAUAAUAACUACAUUAGAUAGAUAAAACAACAGUAUGAAAAGUAUAUCAAAAUAUCGAUGUUUCACACAAUUUUAGUCGUGUGUUUGCUUGUAUUCCCCCCUUAAAAGAGUAUAAAAAGCAUUUAAAAACGUAUUUGAAGUGUGUUUGCAGGGGUAUGAACUCACUUGAAAGUUUGAAGAUAGCGAGAUGGAAAACCGGGCAGAGUUUUGUCUCGGGAAACGGAUUUUUCUCAGGAUUCUCGGGAAUUUCGGGAGUAAAAUCGACCUUCGGGACUUGAGCAAAAUGACUAGGGCUUCGGGUUACAACAGGCACGGAAAACGAGGCAAAACGCAAGAGAAAUGAGAGGAAAUGAGCAAAUUUUCCGGAAACCCUCGCAUCCCUUUUAUAGGGGCUGAGAGGCCUCGGUACGCGGGGCGUAUGGGCGUACGCAACGCGUACCCGUGCGUCAUGCAUGAGCGAGUCCUCGACUGCCCCGGAGCUCGGAUGGGACGGAUUCGCAUAGGCUCACAUAGGGGCGACGUGGACGGACCAAGACCAAGGCCUUCGCGUACGCGGGGCGUACAAGGCUACGCAGUGCGUAACUCGGAUGAGGACGCUGACUCCUCCUUCGGAUAUUACCAUAAUUUUGAUUUAAAUUUAUUUAUAAUUUAUUUAAUAAACUUAAAAAAAUCAUAUCUUCUUCAUACGAACUCCGUUUUCGAUGGUCUUUAUAUCCAUACGUAGGUGAGACUAUGCUCUACAACUUUCGUUUAGACUCCGUUGGCAAAUUAUGAAAUUAUUUUUAUUAUUUAUUUAUUAAAAUGACGUGAUUAAGGAAUUUCUUUAAAAAUUCAUAACUUCUUUAUCUGACGUCGGUUUUUGCCAGACUUUUUACCGCUGAAAUACCAUUGUCGAGACCUUCGAUUCUCGUUUAGGUCAUUCUGGCCAAAAGUCGCUCGAUCUCCGAUUCGAGUUUUUAGCUGUCUGCUGCUAAGCCGAACUUGGAAAAAUCAUAACUUAGACAUACGAUGUCCGAUUUGAGCGUUCUUUUUAUCUACGUUUGUAGUUUAACGAUAUCUAUGACUUUCAUUUAGAAACCUAAGGUCAAAAAGUAUUUUAUUGAAACUUCGCGAUUUUACGUAACUUCGUAUUGCCGGUUUUUGUCGGAAAACUUAGAAUGGUCAUAACUUCUUCGUUAUAACUCGGAUUUUAGUGUUCUUUAUAUGCUUGGAAACCUUAAGACAAUAUCUAUUACAUAGCAUACUCCAAAUAGAGCCUUUGAAUAGUUCAUUUUUCGAUGAUAUUCUAAUUACUUUUUCAAAGAGGUUACAAGACUCGAAUUUCAAGGACCUGAAACGAUGGGUUGUUACAGCAUCCCCCCGUUAGAGGGAAUUUCGUCCCGAAAUUAGAGUUCAUGUAUAGAUAGAAGUUUUAUUUGCUCCUCAUGUUCUUAAUUGAACUCGGUUCCUCGCUUGGCAUUCUAGUGAACCUUUCACUAUCGGGAUACGACUUUGCUUCCUUCGUUUGACUUCACUGGCAUGAUAACUCUUCUUGGUCGAACGUAUGUUGAAUGUUUUUGUGGACUGUGAGAGUAGUACAUCUUGUACCCUACAAGUAGUGUCUCCAGAUCUUCGAAGUAAUUACCGAUGCUCCUGACUCAAGAUCAUGUGUUGUAUAGUUAACUUCCUGUGUCUUAAGUUGUCUUGAGGUAUAGGCAGUGACCUUUCCUUUUGCAUGAGAACACAACCAAUUCAUACUGAUUAUGAUGUCAAAAUCUUGGAAGUGGAUUAGAUGUCAUGAAGAUCUAAAAGAAAGUAUAAUUACUCCCGAAUUAAGGAAAAAGGAUGGGUAUUUUUGUUCUAUCUGUCUCUCUUGUACCAAUCGACAGAAAGGGGCAUGUGUUGCGCUUCUAAGUUUAUUUGUAUGGCAGCACGAUCACUCGUAGUCUUAGGCAGUCUCCGUCCUGAAGUUCAUAUUAGAAAUUCAUACAUGGUUGAACGAUCAUAAUCUCGUGUAUACAAGUUGUAUAUAAUUAAGAUUGAAAAGGUAGUCGAAUAACUGAUUCUUCUUUAAGCUCACAUCCCAUCGAGGAAAAAGAAGUUAAAGUGGAAUCGUCAAUUCUAAACCUGUAGAACCUUGAUUAUAUAUCAUCCCUACGUAUACAUUCAUCAAUGACAGAUCAACCGUAUGGAUCUUUGGAUUUGAACUUGACGUACUGUACGAGUGGCACUUCAGGGAUUUCUUCGGAAAUGAAUAGAAUUAUGAGGUACUCCAUUCAUGAGUAAUUGGUGCUCUGAUAUGACGGCUUCGCUGGAAAGGCGAUUUCGAAGACAGAGGUGUACAUAUGAAACUGUUUUUGUGAGAAUCAAAUUGAAUCAAGUCGUAUGAUAAUGUCGGAAUCAUAAGGAAAACUUAAAGACAUUAGAUUUGAAAAUAAGACGUUUACCGACAACAUACUACCGUGCAACCAUCAACAGAGUUACAGUACUCUAGACUAUNACUAUUACAAGAAUAUUGCUGCGAAUAAGGUAUACUACAACGGCAAGUAUACGCAGCAUGAGCAUCCCUAUACCGACGGGAUCCCGCAAAAGACAAGGCUCUGGUUGCGCUAGUUUUGGAUGGUAUAUAAGUCUGUUACAACGAAACACCUAAAUUACAUUAAUGUGGGUUCGGAGUAGGUUCUCCUGCAACUGUGGUCCUGAGAAUCCUACCAUCUAUGCCAUAAUUCUUUGUGAUAGGGAAAUCCUUCUUGAGGUGCCCUUAUCUCCUCGCAUUGGUGGCAUGACUGGCUAGUGGCGGGAGUGAGGUGUUUAGCCAGUGUUAUGUGGACAUGAGUGCCUUCCUCAAUACCCCACCUUGGAAAUUGCUUCCUAAGGCGUUCUACAGGAGUUGCCACUUGUUGUGGCAUGGCAAAUCUUUGGGAUCUCUUGCGCUCGUUUAGGGAUUGCUUGUGUUGCCUGAGUUGAGGUGUGUAAGGAAGGUUGUCACAGCAGCUGCUACUGCAGCUUGUAAUGUAGUAGCGCCGAUAUGGAGGAUGGGGGUUUUGUUGCUUCACUGAUUGUUUCCGGAGUGAGUGCUUCUGGUCCAUUUGUUCCUCUUGUUCCUUUAUGAAUCUAGAUCCUAAUGUGCGUGUUUUAGCGGACCUUCAUUACUCUGCCUAUCACUUCAACUGAUCGGGAUCCUGUGGAUUUGGGUUUAAUUACUUAUGUUCUUCUAAAUGUUAGCAUAUCACUCGAUGCAUUAGGGAAGCUACGUUUUGAAGUUCAUUGUUGAAUUCACUACUAGUUUAUGAGCUUGGAUUUGACUUGUUGUAUGCGUGGUAUUUCUAAAUGAUCCGUUGGGGGAUACUACGGGAAGGUUGUAAAGAUUCCUCAUAUGAGUACUUCGGGGUUUUAAAACUAGAAACCAAUUGGGGUUUCUGUCGGGUUUGUCAUUAUGAAUCGAUCGUGUUUCAUUAGUCGAUGGUUAAAGUGAAAGGGUCUUUUAUAACACAUGGAACUGGUAUGGGUAGGGCCACACCAAUCCUCGUCGAAAGCCAAUGUCGGUACUUCUCAUUGUAAGACGUUCGUUAGUGGGAUAGGGCAUUCUACGUAUGUGUUUUCAGUGCUUUUUAGUCUAUCUCUAUUAUUACUACUAUGAAAGUUUUGUUUAAUGAUUAGGGUGUUUGUUCGAGUAGAUUUUUAAACUUGUGACUCACGGAACUCUUCUGCCUUCCUACUAUCAAAUGGAAUGUAUGCAAAUAAGUUAUCAAGGAGAAAUGUACCCAGAAUAACCAUGGGGUCUGCAAUAGCCUCCUCUUGGCCCAUUGUGAAUACUUGGCCUUCUCCACCAGCAUUCAUGAUGCUUGACUCCAGGCAGUCCCUUCGGAAGUGUCCCGUUACUCCGCACUCAUAACAAGUGCGGUCUACUCCUACAUUUGUGGCUAGAGCAGUUGGUUGGGCUAGUUCUCUGCAGUAGCGGACGGUGUGUCCCUUUCUAUUGCACCUAACGCAAUACAUUUCACGGCAGGAUCCGUGAUGAUGAAUGUUGCAUCGGUUGCACUUAGGCUGGUUGCCGUUGUACGACCUUUUGGGUGUAUGGGUAGGGUUUGUUGACUGCUUUUUGGCGUUUCUUUGAGUUGAUUUGCCUCCCCUCUUGCUCCAGGGUUUUUGUUUCAUGUUCUUGUGUUCGCACCUUGCGGCAUUCUUAUAGGUAUCUACUGGUAGGUGGUUUCGAUUGUUUCUUUGAUUAGGAUUUUUGAUAUCGUUUCCUUCCCUGAUUGAGUUGACAGAGUUAUUGUAUGCUAUCAUGGCUGCCACCGUGGCUAUAACUGUAGCUUGCAAAGUGGCGGUGUCCAAUCGUAGGAAUGGGGUUGCGUUGGUAAGUUGAUUAUUUCCGGCCCUUGCUGCGCCACUAAAGUUUGCUUAAGACAGUGCAGCUGUUACUGCCGUAGCGAUAGCAGAUUGCACUAUGUUGGGGUCAUAUUGAGGAGGUGGUGGUGGGGUUGCGUUUCUAUGUGCUGAUCUACGAGGAGACAUUGUUCUGAUAAGGAAAUAACAUGAAAAACUAUAAGUUUUAAUGAUUCGAAGUCGCGCAUUAGUGAUUUGCUAUAUCAGAAGUUUGGCUUACCCCUGAAUAGGGUUUUGAGUUCAACUCAUGAGGAGAGUAGAUAAACUCAUUAAUUUGAGGGGUAUGCAAAGAGUUUAAUAAAGGAAAUACAUCAUAUAUUAUAAAACAUGGUGCGUUACAUUUUGUAGUUAGGAAAAUUUUGACCUAUCUAAAGGUCUCCGAUUACAAGGUUAAGAAAAGUAAGGACUUUAUCCGAGGUCUUAUGCUAUGACAAAAUUUUGGAAGUCAGACAGGUUUUAUUUGUUACGCGAGCUGGCUACAUGGGCCUUAGAUUCUACCAACUGACGCUCCAUCUCGAGCAUACGUAGUUCAUGUCUUGCCUGGCGUGCCCGAAGUUCUAUCACUUCGGUUUGAGUUGCCGUUAGCUCUCUCUGCAACGCUUCAUUUCGAUUUACGAUUCUCCCGUAAGCUAAUCCUAACUGUCGGAUGCGAACUGUGUUGACUCCAGUGUUCGCAUCAUUUUCCUCAGUUCGAUGGAUGGUCGUCCGUCCUUGUUCACCUAUGCGAGAAAUCCGACAAACCAAUAUAGGAAGGGCUCUUUCUGCUGAGCCUCCCUCGCUUAGGUUGUAGAAGCUUCGGUCUCUGUUGAAUGGAAGGAGUUGAUCCAGUUCGCGGCUCCACCUAUCCAGGUUAGUUGCCCAAAGGGGCAUCGNNNNNNNNNNNNNNNNNNNNNNNNNNNNNNNNNNNNNNNNNNNNNNNNNNNNNNNNNNNNNNNNNNNNNNNNNNNNNNNNNNNNNNNNNNNNNNNNNNNNUUAUUUUUGAAAUGAAAAAUUUGUUUGAAAAUUUACGUUGUUACACCCUUAUUUUCCUAUUAGUUGUUUGGUUUGUAUACAGGAGAGACCCUUAUUUUCCUAACAUAACUGGCAGUCUCCAAGAACGAAAAUCGCAAGCAACCGACGUGCAUAAAAGUUGUGUGACAGUUUUAUAUAANACGAAGAUCGCACUUGUUAGAUGAAGAAUAGUUUUAAUAGCUACUCGUUCAUAAAAGCAUAAUACCAUAAUAAUUGUAUAUCCGAUGAGUUUUAUAACCAUACUAAACAUAAUAUGCCUGUAGCGACGUUCUUCAGGCGUCGUAGCGUUAUGACAAACUGUCACCCCAAAGGACGGACUGUAGCUAACAGUCAGGGCGCGGGAUCAUGACUUCCCGUAUAGAUCUAUACACAUUUGACACGUUCUUCGAACGGGAGACUCUGGUUAUAGACAGGACUUGAAGCGGUACCUUUUAGCAAAAAGGUAAGAUUUGAAGAUGUACACGUCUCAAGGAUUCUCAACUAAGUCUGAAUUAAAGUAGUAGUUUUCUGUCCAAAGUUUAUCAUUUUUCACAAUGUUUGACAAAGCAUAAAUCAUAAGUUCUUUGAAUGCAUAAAAUGAUUNAGUAAUGAUGGUUACCCUUGAUAUGAUGUAUUUGUAUGUAAACGUAUAAAUAAAACAUAUUUCUAUUUAUAAAACAUAUUGUAUCCCAAGAGGGUAAAGCUGUGUUGUGAGGUGUUUUGCAUGAUAAUAACUUCAUAAGAUAGUUAAAACAACAGUAUGAAAAGUAUAUCAAAAGAUCGAUGUUUCACACGAUUUUAGUCGUGUGUUUACUUGUAUUCCCCCCCUAAAAGAGUAUAAAAAGCAUUUAAAAACGUAUUUGAAGUGUGUUUGCAGGGGUAUGAACUCACUUGAAAGUUUGAAGAUAGCGAGAUGGAAAACCGGGCAGAGUUUUGUCUCGGGAAACGGAUUUUUCUCAGGAUUCUCGGGAAUUUCGGGAGUAAAAUCGACCUUCGGGACUUGAGCAAAAUGACUAGGGCUUCGGGUUACAACAGGCACGGAAAACGAGGCAAAACGCAAGAGAAAUGAGAGGAAAUGAGCAAAUUUUCCGGAAUCCCUCGCAUCCCUUUUAUAGGGGCUGAGAGGCCUCGGUACGCGGGGCGUAUGGGCGUACGCAACGCGUACCCGUGCGUCAUGCAUGAGCGAGUCCUCGACUGCCCCGGAGCUCGGAUGGGACGGAUUCGCAUAGGCUCACAUAGGGGCGACGUGGACGGACCGAGACCAAGGCCUUCGCGUACGCGGGGCGUACGAGGCUACGCAGCGCGUAACUCGGAUGAGGACGCUGACUCCUCCUUCGGAUAUUACCAGAAUUUUGAUUUAAAUUUAUUUAUAAUUUAUUUAAUAAAAUUCAAAAAAUCAUAUCUUCUUCAUACGAACUCCAUUUUCGAUGGUCUUUAUAUCCAUACGUAGGUGAGACUGUGCUCUACAACUUUCGUUUAGACUCCGUUGGCAAAUUAUGAAAUUAUUUUUAUUAUUUAUUAAUUAAAAUGACAUGAUUAAGGAAUUUCUUUAAAAAUUCAUAACUUCUUUAUCUGACGUCGGUUUUUGCCAGACGUUUACCGCUGAAAUACCAUUGUUGAGACCUUCGAUUCUCGUUUAGGUCAUUCCGGCCAAAAGUCGCGCGAUCUCCAAUUCGAGUUUUUAGCUGUCUGCUGCUAAGCCGAACUUGAAAAAAUCAUAACUUAGACAUACGAUGUCCGAUUUGAGCGUUCUUUUUAUGUACGUUUGUAGUUUAACGAUAUCUAUGACUUUCAUUUAGACACCUAAGGUCAAAAAGUAUUUUAUUGAAACUUCGCGUUUUUACGUAACUUCGUAUUGCCGAUUUUUGUCGGAAAACUUAGAAUGGUCAUAACUUCUUCGUUAUAACUCGGAUUUUAGUGUUCUUUAUAUGCUUGGAAACCUUAAGACGAUAUCUAUUACAUAGAGUACUCCAAACAGAGCCUUUGAAUACUUCAUUUUUCGAUGAUUUUCUAAUUACUUUUUCAAAGAGGUUACAAGACUCGAAUUUCAAGGACCUAAAAGGACGGGUUGUUACACACUAUAUGUGUUUAAAGCUCCUUAUUUCUCUGUACAUUUUACUCUGUAUAUUACUUUUCAAACUUAUUUACAAUUUUGUUUCAAACAAACGUUUCUUUAUACUAAAACUGCUUUAUAAAACCCAUGCCUUCAAAACCAUUUUAUAGAUCGACACCAAGUCGGUCUUUUCUUAGAAAAUAUUUAUGUUCAAAGUUUUUACAAAUCUUAAUUUAUGCUUUUAAAUUAUAAAUUGCAUGCCUCUAUAUGUAUAGUUAUAUAAGAAAUGUGCAAAAGACUUAGGAAGGCUAUCCACCCUACUUCCUUUUCGCGCUUGAGAUGUGGUCUGGUGGGAUAUCGGGUAUUCGUCCGAAGGUCGUUUAAACAUUAGUUAUAUAUCACAUGUACAUAUAUAGUCAUAAAGGUCAUUCCAGUUCAUUCCAUGCCCUUGGGUAACAAGGGUAUACAUCCAUGUCCAUACGUAACAGUUAGAUUACUAGUAAACUACCAUAUGGGUAGUUUAGGAAGAUACUAGAACUAUUACUAGAACGCAAUAUCAUACAAUGAGUCAGUUGAUUCAUGAGUCAAUACUUUCUAGAACAUUACAAUAUAUUACUAUACUUGCUAGAGAGAGAGAGAACACACAUUACAGCUAGCACACGUAGAACAUUUCCGCACAUUACAUUACAUAUACAUGAAUACGUUAAUAAUUGUGAUCCACUGUAUUGGAGCAUGCCUUAAAUGUCAUGGCCCGUCUUGUAGCCAGAAUUCUCUUGGAGGGAGAGCAUGAGUUUGCGUAUAGAUCUAUACUGGAUUGACUAUCCUACACCUUGCUGCUAGCUACAGCCGGACCUGCAGGUCUGCGGGUGCCAAACGUCAUUCCGUUAUUACGACCGUUCGUAAUGUCGUUGUUAUCAGUCGAUAGUAUGGUGCAAUUAUCACAUUAUACCUUAAUAUAAAUCCGGUUUAAGGUAGUAGUAAUUAGUACAACAGUAGUUCUUAUUAUACAAANNNNNNNNNNNNNNNNNNNNNNNNNNNNNNNNNNNNNNNNNNNNNNNNNNNNNNNNNNNNNNNNNNNNNNNNNNNNNNNNNNNNNNNNNNNNNNNNNNNNNNNNNNNNNNNNNNNNNNNNNNNNNNNNNNNNNNNNNNNNNNNNNNNNNNNNNNNNNNNNNNNNNNNNNNNNNNNNNNNNNNNNNNNNNNNNNNNNNNNNNNNNNNNNNNNNNNNNNNNNNNNNNNNNNNNNNNNNNNNNNNNNNNNNNNNNNNNNNNNNNNNNNNNNNNNNNNNNNNNNNNNNNNNNNNNNNNNNNNNNNNNNNNNNNNNNNNNNNNNNNNNNNNNNNNNNNNNNNNNNNNNNNNNNNNNNNNNNNNNNNNNNNNNNNNNNNNNNNNNNNNNNNNNNNNNNNNNNNNNNNNNNNNNNNNNNNNNNNNNNNNNNNNNNNNNNNNNNNNNNNNNNNNNNNNNNNNNNNNNNNNNNNNNNNNNNNNNNNNNNNNNNNNNNNNNNNNNNNNNNNNNNNNNNNNNNNNNNNNNNNNNNNNNNNNNNNNNNNNNNNNNNNNNNNNNNNNNNNNNNNNNNNNNNNNNNNNNNNNNNNNNNNNNNNNNNNNNNNNNNNNNNNNNNNNNNNNNNNNNNNNNNNNNNNNNNNNNNNNNNNNNNNNNNNNNNNNNNNNNNNNNNNNNNNNNNNNNNNNNNNNNNNNNNNNNNNNNNNNNNNNNNNNNNNNNNNNNNNNNNNNNNNNNNNNNNNNNNNNNNNNNNNNNNNNNNNNNNNNNNNNNNNNNNNNNNNNNNNNNNNNNNNNNNNNNNNNNNNNNNNNNNNNNNNNNNNNNCUGCAUUCAUACUAAAAUCAGUGUCACUAGGACAGUACAAAAGAAUUACGAUUGUUGGGCAACACAAGUGGGCUUAGAGACAUAUGGUCAAAACUGGGAAGAUAUAGCCUGAUCACCUAUAUUAUCCAAGGGUUGACUAGCAUGUGCCUAAGUUUAAUUGUGUGGUUGCAACAAUGCUAAAAUCUUACCAACCCUACCUCAAUGAGAACAAUUGAACAUAACAUUAAAAUUUAAAAUACUAUAGAAGUAUUUGGUGUUACUACAAGUACUUUAUACUUGAGAACUAAAAUGGGAUCUUCAUUACUAAGUUGAUAGUUUAAGUGGAUCNUAUGUAAUUAGGAUGUUAUAGACUUAGAAUCUAUGAAAAUUUUGCCUUACCCCUAUUCUGUGUGAAUUUAGAAUUAAGGUCACUUAUUCGAAGGUCUAUCCUGUUUAGAUUACACAUAACUGGUAUGCACUUCACAAAUAGCGAUGUAACUGAUGAAGGUUUUCUAAAUAAUUAUCUAGAUAGUUCGUCUAAUAAUUAUUCUCUUACCCUAAAUUCUCGCAUAGAAAACAUAGCUGGACUCCAUCCCCUCGGCAACCAGUAUCUUCCGAAUGAAGUCAUUGCUGGAUGGUUUGGAGAAGAACCAGAGAAUGAUCAUCCUAUCCCUUUGAAUGAUCACCAUGAUGAAGACCUUUCGUAUGAUGCUAACUCCGAACCAGAGAUUGAGAACCUACCCCAAGCAACUCCCUUUCCAAUUCCUAACCCUCGUCCGACUUUUCAUGGCCCGACCCAGAGUGAGUGGAAUGCUUGGAAACAUGGAGCCAAGGACAAGAUCAGCCUAUGCCAUUUAAUGGCGACCGAAGUUUUUACGACUUGUGCAAUGGGGGCUGAGCAGAUAGAGUCUUGCCAAUCUUGGUCCGCUGGGUGGCCCAAAAUGAGAUCCAACGCAGGACAGCCUCACAUCAGAUUACCGAAGUUGUCGCUGAUGUGAGAAUGUAUACCCUCCGCACCAUUCGUCUAGAAGAUGCUCACGAGAGAUCAGAGAGAAACCAUGAAACCCUGCUGCAAGCGCUGGCUAAAUCACGAGCCGAAGUCAUAGAGCUCCGAGUACGGCAGAGGGUGUACGAAAGACACCUACUUGAUGUGGAACGUCAACUAGCUGAACUAAGAGUUCACCAGAGGGAUGACCGUCGCCAGUAGUAGACGCUGUACUUUAUUUUCCUUAUUUAAAGGAAUCGUUUUUCUGUCUAUGCCCGAUGAGGCAUUUCCUAUGAAACUAUCUUGUACUAUAAGUACUUUUUGUUAGGUCCUUUUGCUGUCAAGAAUUAUCUUCUCUGGAUAUGAUGUAAGACCUUUACAAGGUCAUUUUCCCGAACUUUUACGUCAUGAAUAUCAAAGAUUUUGACAGUCGGCUAACUUCUAUGUCAUUCUUUAUUCAAGUACUCUUAUCAUACUUUCAUUUGAUUCUAUCUGAGACAUGCUUUAGUCAAGUCAUUGGACUAUAGUAAUUUAGCUCCGGAGACAUUUCCAAGUCUCUUUUAGUGAUUGGAUCUUGAUAUCUACCAACCCAUGAUACCUAGGCAUGAACGACGAAUGUCUUGAGACCAUUUCAUGAACUUACUUCCAUUCCGUACUAGGGCUGCAUCAUAGGGAGGUAGAUCAAACUCACGAGAACAUACUUCUAUCCUUUUCAUAAACAGUCGAACUAAGUCAAGGUUCAGCCAAGUUCGUUCACAAAUUCAUUUUCUUUCCGUGAAACAGAAUCAUGUUGCCAAAGAAAAACGAUCAACCUAACAACCAAGCACCGACCCUUCAGAUUGAUGCGGCUACUUUCCAAGCUGCAGUCUCGGCUGCCGUGACAGCUAUUCUGAGCCACCUCCACGCUAACAAUGCGAAUGUUAGCGGAACUGUUAACAACAAUGCCAAUUCAGGUGGAAAUCCAGUACCUCAACGAGCAACAAACAACCACGAUACCCCGAGUGCCGAGAUCAAGAGUAACAAAUGGAAGUUUUGGGCCAAAAGGAAGGACAAAUCGCUUCGAGGGGCGAAUAAGAAACAACAACCGGUAACGACAUUCACAACUACGACAUCUGCACCUCCUACUACCAUUCCUUCUGGUGUCCCAAUUGUCCCUACACCAGCCAGGCAAUAUCCCGGAAAGCUACCUAAAUGCUAUGAGUGUAGUUUCCAUCAUCUGGGUAGUUGCCGCCCGUUACACUAUUUUAAGUGCAACAGGAAUGGACAUACUACCAACUGCUGCAAGAUCCAGAUCCAACACAUUUAUUCAACCACCAAUGUCCAAACCUCUCAAAUAUGCCAUCUAUGUAGCGUCAUGGGACACUUCAAGAGGAACUAUCUAGCAGAGAAGGACAACAACGAAUCCGGAGGAGUUUGACCUCAGGAUGAAAAGAGGCAGUUAAGGACCCUAAUAUAGUAUAGUGUGACAACCCGAUAUUUCGAGACAAUGUAAUGUAAAACCAAUCAAAUUUAGGUCAAAAUAUAACUUUCCUAAAAUCUUAUUUGGGUUAAAUAAAGUAGUAGGAAUCGUAUCAAGGUUUUCGUACAUAUAAAGAACCCUAAAAUCCGAGUUAUAACGAAGAAGUUAUGACCAACCGAAGAUUCUCGACAAAACCGACAACACCGAUUAAACGAAAAACGCGAAGUUCCAAUACAAUAGUUUAUAGCCUUAGGUAUCUAAAUGAAAGUUAUAGAUAACCUCAAACCGUGAGCGUACAUAAAAAGAACGUCCAAAUCUGACUUCGUAUGAGGAAGUUAUGAUUUUUCCAAGAUUCGGGUAUAGCAGUAGACAGCUAAAAACUCGAAAUAGAGCUCGAGAUACUUUUGACCAAAACAACCUAAAUGAGAAUCUAAGGUUUCAACAUUAGUAGCGCAACGGCGAAAAGUCUGUCGAAAACGGACAUCAGAUGAAGAAGUUAUGGAAUUUUAACGGACUUUUCGUGUCCCGGCCCAUUAAAAAUAAAUAAUUAAAAAUAAAGGCAUAAUUUGCCGAUGAAGUCUAAAUGAGAGUUGUAGAUCAUGUUUUUAGCUACGCGUGCAUAUAAAGAACGUUGAAAACGGAGCUCGUAUGCGAAAGUUAUGGAUUUUACAAGUUCGGGGUCCAAAAUCCGAUGCUGUCAGGCUUGCCACGACGUGGCACAAGCUUGCCGCGACCCGGCAGGUGACUGAGGGCGUCCAAUCAAUGGAAGAGGAUAGGUUUGACUCCCCACGACGUGGCCAUCACUUGCCACGACGUGGCACACCCCAAAAAUGCCCCUAUAAAUAGAUUUCAAGGGCUCCGAGUUCCAUUGCUCAGUUCCUUUCUUUCUCGCGCCGAAACUCUGCGUUUAAGCCCCCGAGACCCUCCCAAAGCCCCGGUUUUCACCUUCAAGUCCCGAAGGAAGGUUUUGUGUUCUCGAGAUUCCCGAGAUUCCCGAGAAUCCCGAGAUUUUCCCGCGUUUUCAACUCUUCCUGUCGAAGUUCUGCUCGAUUCUUCUCUCGACUACUUCAAAUCAACCACUUCAAUCAAGUGAGUUCAUACCCCUAAUCAAUAUUUUAAAUGAUUUUAAAUGCUUUAAUGGGGGGGGGGGAAUACAAGUAGAAACAAACAUGUUAUUGAAUCAUUGAUAUGUAUUUUAUAACUAUGUUUGUCAUUUAACGGAUUUCACAUGCUACAAAAUGUGAUGCAUGAAAUGGUUUUACAUCUUAAAAACACAUUGUUACCAAAUGUUUUACCUUUGAAAUGUUUAUUAAAAUGACAUCAAGUCAUUGUUAAUUGUUGUUCAAAACCCAUAAGAGGUCUUACAAAACCAUUUUUACAUUCUUGAACUAGACUAUGCAUAUACACCUAUAUUCUUAUAUAUGUAUUGAUGUUAUAGUUUACAUCUUUCAUUUAGUUUCCCACACCCUUGAGUAGUUAGAGUGUAUAAACCUACAUGAUCAUCCAGUUAUAUUACAGUAGAUUAUCAUAGGGAUAAUUUGAAGAUAUCAAACAUUACUUCUAUUACAAGGAAUCACACAAGAGUCAGUUCAUUCAUGAGUCUAUACUAGUACAUUACCUGAUACAUGAGUAUUUACAGAUGUUUACCUGAUACAUGAAUAUGUUUACAUAUACUUACCUGGAUACUUGUACUUAGAACUAAGAGGAUAAUUUAUUAGUACUUUCUGUGUAAAUUAUCUUUCCUAUCCCGGUUCAAUGGGAUAUCUAGGCGGGACUUACCAUUCCGAACCCCACUGAUUAGCACCAGUGGUCGAUGACCAUCUUCGGAGGUCUAAGGUUACUACUUAUAUUAGGAAGAUCGAUUUGGGACUAACCCUUCCACCCACCUGCUGCUGCUACAGAGGACAAUUGGACAGUCUUCGGAUGUUCAUUAGGUUAUACAUUUCGCUUAAUGCGAUGUUGUGUUGGUCCUAGUACCCAGUGACAACACAUACAGUAUUACAUUUUUCCUGUUUACUUUAUUUUGUGAUACAAUUCACAUAAACGAUGAGUUAGACUAAGCACUUUUAGUACUAGUGAAAACAAAGGAAAAACUAUCAUUUUACAAACAGAACAUUCGGGUCUUGGUAGAAGACUACACGUCAUACUUACAAAACAUUUGGGUCUUGGUAGAAGACUACACUUCAUACGUACAGAACAUUCGGGUCUUGGUAGAAGACUACAUUUCAUACUUAUAGAAAAUAAGGGUUUUUUUUUUUCUAGGGAUUUCAUACUUACCUCAACAUUUACAUUCGUCUUGUUAGCACCAGUACCUCCGGCUAACACUUACAUGAUUAUAUUUUUCCUGUUUAAGACUACAUUGGGUCUUGGUAGAAGACUACACUUCAUACUUACAAAACAUUCGGGUCUUGGUAGAAGACUACACUUCAUACGUACAGAACAUUCGGGUCUUGGUAGAAGACUACAUUUCAUACUUAUAGAAAAUAAGGGUUUUUCUAGGGAUUUCAUACUUAACACAACAUUUUCAUUUAAAGGUUUACAUGACUUUCAUAACAGAUUUUCACAGACAAGGCAAUGACACUUAUAUACUUAUGAAUUCACCAGCUUUAAAGCUGAUACUCGCUUUCAAAAUUACUUGUAUCCUCAGGUCAUCAUAGAAAGGUACCGAUGCAAGGAGAAAGGAAGAUGGAGCUUGUUCAAGACUUAUCUUUCAUUUUGAUUUAUGCUUUAGUGUUUAUCAAAAUUUGACAGAAUACAAUUGUAUAAUAAUUAUUUUAUUAAUGCAAUGGAUGAUGUUGUUUCUUGUUUACUACUUUACAUUGUUGUUGAUAUUAUACAUGACGUCCUCCGCCCCAGAACGUUUCUGCCGUUCUCGGUUUUGGGGUGUGACAUAUAGGUUCCCUCCAAAUCGUCAAUAUUUUGUAUGUUCAAAAACAUGUUUAAAACUAGUACAACUAGAGUCUUUCCUUUUACGAGAUCCUGUAGGAAUAGGGAUGCUCGUGCUGCGUAUACUUAUCUUUUGUAGUAUAUCUUAUUUGCAGCAAUAGUCUUGUGGUAAAUCUAAAGUACUAUAACUCGGUUCAUGGUUGCACAUUUGUGUUUUGUCUGUAAACGUCUUAUGUUCAAAUCUAAUGUCUUUAAGUUUCAGUAUGAUUCCGACAUUAUCAUACGACUCGAUUCAAUUUGAUCCUCACAAAAACAGCUUCAUACGUACAUCUCUUUCUUCUAGAUCACUUUUCCAGCGAAGCCGUCAUAUCAGAACACCGAAGUACUCAUGCCAGGAGUACCUCUUAGUUAUUUUCUUUCCGAAGAAAUCCCCGAAGUACCACUCGUGCAGUACGUCAAGUUCAAUCCAAGGAUUUAUACGAUUGAUCUAUCACUGAGGAAUGUAUGCAUAAGAGUGAUAUAUAAUCAAGGUUCUACAGGUUUAGAAUUGAUGAUUCCACUUUAACUUCUUUUUCCCCGAUGGGAUGUGAGCUUAAAGAAGAAUCAGUUAUUCGACUAUCUUUUCAAUCUUAAUUAUAUACGACUCGUAUACACGAAAUUGUGAUUGUGAAACCAGGUAUGAAUUCUAAAAGGAACUUCAGGACGGAGAACUGCCUAAGCCUCCGAGUAAUCGCAUCAUCAUGUGAACAAACGUAGAACCCAGUACGACUCUUGUAAACAAAUCGCCCUAUAGUCUAAACACCUACGGAGAUACCAGAACAGUACAAACAACUUAACGAACUGCACAACGAUAGAAUAAGAAGACUAGGCUUCUCACCCUGGAGAACCCCCAACCUUAUUCUCCUAGAGAACGACGGAUUGCAUCAUAUGUGCCUCUGAUAUCGAGGACUCCAUCAAGAUUUUCAUUAGAAAUCGUUAUCUCUGCCUCGCAUAGAUGAAAUGGUUGAGCAAACGCAAGGAAAGAAUUACUUUCAGAAAUGGAUAUGAGAUCCGAAUAUCACCAGUUCGAGUGUUAGGGAAGGAUGUCCGGAAGACUAUCUUCUGAACUCGAUGCAGACACUUCGAGUCCGUAGUGAUACCCUUCGGAUAGGACCAAUACGCCCAUAGCUUUCAUGAGCUAAACGAGUAGAGUCCGUCUUUCUCACUUGGAUCAGUUCGUCAUUCUCCAUGUAACGACUUACUUAUCUGUCCUCGUAGUAAGAAGGAACCCGCGGAAACAUUACCCUUAGAGAAACUUUUCGCAAAAAGUUCUCUGAACACGGGUAUUAGAAUUAAAGAGUCGAAUUCCGAAGGCACACUUAUAGUGUUGUGGAAUCCUUGAGUGCACUGUCGAUUCACCCAAAAUCGUUGGGAAUUUGUCGACACCGGAGACACCGACAGAAAUUCGCCAAAUUCUAGGUCUUGCAGACCUACUGUCAUAGUUCAUCCAGAACUCCUCGUAAAUCACAUAAACUCUUUCGACUCUGACCCAUCAAGGGGUGUCCCUUGACUAGGAAGUUAAACAAGAAAAAGAAACCUUGGAGAUUCCAAGUGAGUGGCCAAGUUCUUUAGGAGAACUCACUCUGGGAAUGGCUUAAUACGUUUCGUAUCGCGUGGCAAGCUAAAUCCAGUAUAGUUAGGACCUCCGAGAUUCUUAUCAGAAUCGGUCCUGUGCCUCGCACACACUAGACCUACUCCGCGAACUCAGUAACGUACAUUCUACUCUUCGCGUCUCGAUCGUGAGACCAUACCUUUCCGUUAGGACUCUAGUAAGUCCACUCGUCGAGAUCCUCGCCUUCGUACUAGAAUCGUAGUGACCCUCGACCGAGAGGUCAAGCAGACGAAGCAUCACCAUCGCCCGUUAGUGAAGGUUCGUUGGGAUACCAACCGAGAACCCGAUUUCACUUAGGAGCUCUAGAACCAAUCGAUUAGAAAGUUUCCUUCUCAUGACUCGAUCAUUCGUACCUAUUUUCCUUGUCUAAAUUCUAAUUUCGGGACGAAAUUCCCUUUAACGGGGCGAUGAUGUGAUAACCCGAAAAUUUCUAGCUUGCAUUCUUCAUUUGCUAUCAACAAUAGACUCGUUUUGCUAUCUUGUAGUACCAUUUAGGGUCUAUUGGAGCAUUCUAAACGUGUUAUAAUCAAGGUAGGAGUGUUAAAAAGGGUUAACUCGAAGUGUAGGAAUCAAAACCGGGCCAAACACUCCAACACAUGGAGUGUGCGGCUACACACUUGAGUGUGCGGCCACACACAUGUGUUUGCGGCCUCACACCCUUCCCAACUGCACACUCCACCUAUAUAUACCACACUUAGUCAUUUUUGAACACCUCUUUCACUUCUUCAAGCAUAGAACUCGAAAAUCCUCUCAAGUAUCAUCCAUUCUCCUUGAAGAUCUUCAUAAAAGGUACCAAGAACACCAAGAACACCAUCUGGCCGCACACAUGGCAGCACACACCAUCUGGCAGCACACAUGGCCGCACACAGGGCCGCACACAUGUGCUGGCAGCACACUAGGCCGCACACCUGGCCGCACACACACAUAUAGUGUGUAUUUUGGCCAUACACUCCUUUGUAAAGCCUUAUACCCCUUCAUACAAUCAUAUAUGGUUGUAACACUUCAAUAUAAGUGUUUACUAGUCCCUAAGGUGGUCCCAAUUCAUUAAUUAGUUGUUCAUAACACUAAUUAUAUUCAUAUAUGUGUCAAUAUAUGCUAAAUAGGAUUCGCGUGUGUACUCAAGUCACCACUUGAUACUUAGCAACUGAUCCAACAUUUUCGUCAGAACCACUCACUACAGGUGAGUUCAUACCCCUUAAGUAAUGUUUUAAACUACUUUUAAAUGUUUUAUGGGGGGAUACAAGUAGAAUUAUGCUAGUUAUUAUAUCAAUCACAUGUGAUUAAUAAGCAGCAUUCAAAUGAUUGGCUACUCAUUAGCCGUUUUACUAAACAGUUUCCUUCAAAUGUCUUUCAUAAACACUAUAUGUGUUUAAAACUCCUUAUUUCUCUGUACAUUUUACUCNNNNNNNNNNNNNNNNNNNNNNNNNNNNNNNNNNNNNNNNNNNNNNNNNNNNNNNNNNNNNNNNNNNNNNNNNNNNNNNNNNNNNNNNNNNNNNNNNNNNNNNNNNNNNNNNNNNNNNNNNNNNNNNNNNNNNNNNNNNNNNNNNNNNNNNNNNNNNNNNNNNNNNNNNNNNNNNNNNNNNNNNNNNNNNNNNNNNNNNNNNNNNNNNNNNNNNNNNNNNNNNNNNNNNNNNNNNNNNNNNNNNNNNNNNNNNNNNNNNNNNNNNNNNNNNNNNNNNNNNNNNNNNNNNNNNNNNNNNNNNNNNNNNNNNNNNNNNNNNNNNNNNNNNNNNNNNNNNNNNNNNNNNNNNNNNNNNNNNNNNNNNNNNNNNNNNNNNNNNNNNNNNNNNNNNNNNNNNNNNNNNNNNNNNNNNNNNNNNNNNNNNNNNNNNNNNNNNNNNNNNNNNNNNNNNNNNNNNNNNNNNNNNNNNNNNNNNNNNNNNNNNNNNNNNNNNNNNNNNNNNNNNNNNNNNNNNNNNNNNNNNNNNNNNNNNNNNNNNNNNNNNNNNNNNNNNNNNNNNNNNNNNNNNNNNNNNNNNNNNNNNNNNNNNNNNNNNNNNNNNNNNNNNNNNNNNNNNNNNNNNNNNNNNNNNNNNNNNNNNNNNNNNNNNNNNNNNNNNNNNNNNNNNNNNNNNNNNNNNNNNNNNNNNNNNNNNNNNNNNNNNNNNNNNNNNNNNNNNNNNNNNNNNNNNNNNNNNNNNNNNNNNNNNNNNNNNNNNNNNNNNNNNNNNNNNNNNNNNNNNNNNNNNNNNNNNNNNAGGUCUGCGGGUGCCAAACGUCAUUCCGUUAUUACGACCCUUCGUAUGUCGUUGUUACUAGUUGAUAGUAUGGUGCAAUUUAUCACAUGAUGCCUUAAUAUAAAUCCGGUUUAAGGUAGUUAGUACAGCAGUAGUUCUUAUAGCGCUACGUUUUAGUACUACAUUAAUUUUCCCUGUACACAUAUUUAGUGAUCUUUUCACUUAAACUAUAAAUGUAAAAACUAUAUUUUGUUAAUAAUAGUUACACUUGGGAAAAUUACACACUUUUACAUGACACGAACAUUUAGAACAGUUAAGUCUUGGUAGAAGACUACAUUGAGAACAGUUAGGUCUUGGUAGAAGACACCCUUAUAUAAUAGUAGGAAAUCAUAGGGAUUUCUAGAGUUUUUCAAACGUUUACAGUUGUUUUACAAACAUUUUCAUACUUACAGUUCAUUUACAAACAUUUUCAUACUUACAGUUCAUUUACAAACAUUUUCAUACUUACAGUUCAUUUACAAACAAUUUCUUACUUACAAAUUAAGACACUAAAAUACUUAUGAUCUCACCAGCUUCAAAGCUGAUACUCGCUUUCAAAUUACUUGUAUCCUCAGGUCAUCAUAGAAAGAUACUGAUGCAAGGAGAAGGGAAGAUGGAGCUUGUUCAAGACUCAUCUUUCAUUUUGAUUUAUGCUUUAGUGUUUAUCAAAAUUUGACAGAACACAUUUGUAUAAUAAUUAUAUUAUUAAUGCAAUGGAUGAUGUUGUUGCUUGUUUACUACUUUACAUUGUUGUGAAAUUAUACAUGACGUCCUCUGCCCCAGAACGUUUCCGCCGUUCUUGGUUUUGGGGUGUGACAGAAGCUUUCCUGACUUUAGGUUCGAAAUGACCCUCUCGGUUGUGGUCAUUUGAGGGACCGAACUUGGACCUUUGGUUGCUGUUUGAUGAUGAACCGAAGCUGGAUUUUCGGGUGUUGUAGGUUGGUGGCUCGAACCUGGGUCUUUUAUUGUAAAAGCUUGACGAGCCGAAAUCCGGUCUUUGCCAGUUGUUGUUUGGCGGACCGAAACUAGCUUUUCGGUUGUUGUUGCUUUCGGGACCAAACCUAUCCUUUCGGUUUUGUUCUUCCUGUGGCCCGAAAGUCUUCCUCUUGUUCUUUUGAAUCGGUGAUUCAAAGUUCCUUUUACUCUUGUUUUCUUCUCCUUUUAACUUAGAAUUUUUGUCAAAGUGUAGUGACGAUUUUGGGAGCGCCAAAACUGCUUUCGCUCUGAGAAAUUUUUCUUGUAUCUCAAGUUUCUCUGCUGCUUUUGAUUUUUCACCUGUUUCGGUUGUUUGUGGAUAUUUGCCUUUUGUUUCAGCUGCUUAGCAACAGGUUCACUCUUCAUGGAAGAGGUUUUGCUUGUUGAGGUGACAUCUUCCACUGGAAUCUCUUUUGUGCCACUUGAACUUGGUACGUCAAAGUUGGUAGGCUUAUUCAGAGGUUGGGCACAUAUCUACCUUUGGCCUUCCAUGAUGUUCGCUCCGACAAACUGACUGUUUCAUCUACGUUGUCUAUCGGUGCAGACCAAAAAAACUCAUCACAGCCAUCUGCAUUAUCUUCGUUUACUAUGGCAGUGAGUUCGGCUGUCUAAUGUUCGGUUACUCCUGUGAUCUUAUACACCUGAUUGGGAGUUGUUCUAACCUUCUGAAACACAACGACUUUUUUUUUAAGGAUUGGGGACUUAGUUUUGGACAAACGAGCAAAUUCCACAGAAUUUUCAGAAAUCAGGUUUUUGUGGUUUUCAGGUUCGCUCCUAAUGAACUCGGAACAGUCAACUUCAUCCUCUACAGAAAUUUCACUCAUGUCAUCGUCCUCAUUAAGUUCAGAUGCAUUUUCAACAUCAAUUUUAUUUUCUGAACUCAAUUUGGUACUCAAUGAGUCAAAUUUUUAUAUGGUUUCGGCCCUGAGUUUCAACUUAUCAUUUUCAUCCAAAAGAUUUUUAAGCAUGUCCUUAUGGUCUUUGGACUUUAUAAAAGAUUCAAUUUUGUCCAGACCAUACAUAUAAGUAGGAUUGACAUCAUCAGAAGAUACAACACUUUCACAGUUGUAUGCUUCGGCAUCAAUUUCAUCCUCCUUAAACUCAAGGAAGGGUAAAAUCAUGCGAUGUAUCUUCUGUCCUAUUUCACAGUUUAAAUGCAGCUGAGUAAUGUUAGCAUAAAGCCUUUUGGCAAUCAAACAAAAAACAUUCCUUUGUUUUAAUAAUUUGAGAUUGUCUCUUUGCAAAUAAAUGUUUUCAUCCCUAGACUUAAUCAGCUCCAACUCUUUCUGCUCUAUCCACAUCAUUCGCUCUCACUCUUAGAUGACACCCUGCUUAUUUGGUCAGUUAGAUUAGAAUUCGUGACCCGUGUCUGAGUUAAACAACUAUCUAGAUUCGAAAUUCUUGAAUUCAAGUUAUUUAAUUCCUUUUCAUAUGAUUUUUGUGGAAUUUUAAAUGAAAUAAAAAUUGAUUGUACCUUCUUGAUCAGUUCAUCUAGCUCACUGAUCUGCACACCAAGGGGCUUCGCUGUAAAGCAUACGUCCUCUCGCUCCUUAGCCUCUUCGUUUCCACCAUCAGUGUUGUAUCCCCUCAUAUGAGAUACAUCUGUCACCAUCAGACAUCUUCCACUCACAUCACUAUUCUUCGCCACAUAUGCCUUUCCAUGAGAAGGCUUUCUCACUUCAUCAUCCUCUGAUUCGGUUGACCACACAUGUACGCCACCGAACUCAUCAUCAUCUACCCAAUCCCGCACAAUAAGAGCAUUCAUAGAGGGAUUAGUAGAAGCUUUCUUCCUCUUUAUCUCCUCCAGUCUUUUUAGGAGACUUGCUUCUUCAUCCUUCUCUUCAUCUUUUUCUGCCAUCUUCUUUAGCAUGCAAUCUUUUGCGUAGUGAUUUUUCCCACCACAGUAAAAGCAACUGACACCAGAGUGAGCUUCACCAUUUGCUUCCUUCUUUGAUUCUUCAACCUUCGGCUCCUCUUUCACUUUUUCAGAGCUGUAGCUUCCCUUCCAAUUUCGAUUUUUGUUGGUAGGGAACCUUUUCUUAAUAAACCUUAUGGGCUUGACACCAUCAUAGCAUAGUCUUUAGCUGUCAAAUCGUGGUCUCCUAGAUUUAAAUGUUAUUCGUCUUCUGCUGCACUCUUACCUUUGGACAUAAGCGCCAAAGACCCCUGAUUUGAAAUCACGCUUUUCUCUUGUAGCACUGUCUUUUCCUGGGAUUUAAGAAUACCCACCAGUUUCGCCAACGAGUACGAUUUAAACUGCUCAUGUGCUUUAACUGUUGACACAACAGCUCUCCAUUCGGGUCUCAAACCAUUUAAGAAUGUGACCUUCUGUUCGAUAAGCUUUCUUUCAAUGUCAUGCUUGAUCAUCUUGCUAAGAAGAUGAUUGAAUUGAUUAAAUGUUUGUGUAACAACCUCAUCCGACAUCUGCUUGAAUUCUCCAAAUUUAGAGAGAAGUAGAGUCUGAAUCGAAUGCUCUAGAUCUUCAUCUGUGGAGUACAACUCUCGCAACCGAUCCCAGAUUUCCUUUGCUGUACUGCAAGAACUCACCAAUCGAAACGUGUCGGACUGAAGAGCAAAUCGAAUUAGUCUCAAUGCCUUAAUGUUGCAUUGGAACUUCUCCUUUUCAUCCUGAGUGACGUCUUUCACAUCUUUCAACAAAUCAUUGUACUCCUUUUGAGUUUUAAUAAUUCUAGAUGUGCCUGAAUGAGCAAAAGGGCCAGAUAUUAUAGCUUCCCAUAUCAGAUACCCAUUAUCUUCAGAUCCAAUAACGUAGUCUUCAAAGUGGUGCGUCCAUACUUCGUAGUCUUGAGUAUAGAGAAUUGGAAUCUUGAUUGUUGAUCUGAUGCUAUUAGAGAUGUUGAUGGCAUUGGAUUGAGAAUCGUCCAUGCUUGAUCGUGUAACCUGUUAUAAGAUCAGACUUUGUAAUACGUAACAUUAGGGCAGGAUGAAUAAUUAAUGAGACACGUCAAUUAUGAGCGACGGCUCAAUAAUUAUCAAUGAAUGCGGAAUAAACCGUAAUCACUUCUUUCAUAGAAGAGAUGUGUAUGAAUUACACAGUCUCCUGCUCUGAUACCAAUUGAGGAGUUGAAAAACUCUUUAAUCGUUUAGAUCUUCAAACAGGUUAAUCAGAAAAAUACUAAUAGAAAGAUCAAAUAAAAAAAUGAAUCAGAAUAUGUCGAAUGCUACAAUAUAUUCACGCCUCAGCAGAGCUCGACUAAGAACUUCCGAUGUAGAGGCUACUAGGGUUACAAACGAUAAAAAGUAAGUAUCUAUGAUUGAUCGACUCUAAAUCUUACGUACUAAGAUGCAUGCAAGCAUCUAUAAAUACUAAACCCUAGAAAAUAACUCACGGAUGGACAGGCCCAAUCCGGAAACAAAAUUGGACUAAGAACGAGCCCAAGACGCAAUAUAUAAUGGACCCUACAUUUAUCACUGUCCAGUGAGCCUUGCCAGGGUUCCCUUGAUAUCUACUGACCAUGCUCAAAGCAAAUGCCACAUCAGGGCAAGUAUAAGUCAUAGCGUACAUGUUUAAGCCCAUAGCGGAAGCAUAUGGUACACGACUCAUCUCAACUAUCUCAGCCUCUCUACUAGGAUGUGACAACCCAAAGCUUUUUCCGUUACCUUUAACCAAUUUUCUGUUAAUAAAAAUUGAAUUUUAUUGAGUUUCCGUCAAACUUCUUGGUUUAGAAAAUCAUUUUUUUUAUAUAUUUAAAUUUAAAUGCGAGUCGGAAGCAAAAUCAUGCGAAAAACCCGAAUCUUCUUGAAAAGUGGCAGUUUCCGGCCUAAGUGAGUUUACGGUCGUAAACCCGUGUACGGUCGUACACUCAUUUACGGUUGGUUCCAGGUGGACCCCACCACCGACCAUACCCCAUGUCUGUAUAUAUGAGACCCCUACCUUCAAUUGAACCUUUUUGGCCAAAAAGUCUCUCAUUCUCUCUCUCUACCCCUUGACCGUAAACCCCUAAAACAACCUCAUUCUUUCGAAAAUCAUCAAGAAAUCGUCUUUGGGAGUUGAUUUGGAGCAUCUAGAACACGUUUUUCAUCGAAUCCAGGAUCCUUGCUCUUGAGUGUAUGGCCAUACACUCUUCAAAUCUGGAAAUCUUCAUUGACCGUAAACCAGUUUACGUCCGUACACACCUCAGACCUUCAAAGUCCGUACACCCAUCAAGAGGAAGUUCACAGCCGUAAACCCCAUUCAUGGCUGUAAACACUUCUUAAGUGGUGCAUUACGCUGAAAACCCGUUUUCCUCGAUUCAAUCAAGUCCUUGUAACAUUCCUUAAUUGAAAGCAAGUGUUUUUCUAACACUUUAUCUGACGAGAUCGCUAAUUUAGAUACAUAUAUGUAUUAUUUUUAUUAGGAUUUCGUUGAGUGCCACGUACAUCAACUCGAGGAUCUUCAUUCCCAAUUUCAUUGUCCAACACUUUCUCGCAUCUAACGGUGAGUUCAUACCCCUACACUUUUAUGAUUUUCAAUGUUUUCAAGGGGGAAUACAAGCCAAACACUAAUGGUUUUUCGAACUAAAACAAAAAGGAAUUCAACAAGUUUUAAACUUAUGCAAUUGAUUCAGUCCAAUAAUUUCUAUAAAAUAUAUGGAUAUUUUUAUCCCUUUUGUAUUAUGCGGAGCAUAAGGGACACUUUCAACUCAAAAACAUAAUUGCAUUGUUUUUAGAUUAAUAUACGAACCAAGCACACGACAUACAUGCAAACUUUAAUAGGCAUAGUUUAGGGUUUCAAUGCACAGUUUUUACGAAUUCAGAAUUAUACAUUGUUAAACAUAUAAACUAUGACAGAUUUAGUUUAUGAUAUACAUUAUUACAAGAGUACAACAUUUAAUAAUUAUUUAAGUAUAAUUAUUACCUUAUACAGUAUAUAUACGGAUUCAAGUACAAAAGAACCAUACAGAACUACACGUAAACUAGUUAAUACAAGACUGUUGGACAACAUUUCAAUUGUACCUUUUGGGGUAUAGAUUAAAUCCUAUCAUAGUAUAACCAGAGUCUAUUGGAGGAGAGCGUGAGAUUUGUAAAUAGAUCUAUUCGGGACUAACAAUCCCACACCUGAACUGCUAGCUUCAGUUAGGCAAGCAUGCUUGGGGUGACAAAUGUCAUAUAUGUUGGAUUAGUGUCUAAGUCCAUAACUAUUUUGGUAUGUACUUGACCCGAUGGUGCAUGGUCCUUUUAGGUUGCCUUCACCAAAGCAACUUGAUAGGAUGAAUUAUGGAGAGAAAGGAUUAAAUAUGAUUUAUUAAUAUAUUAUGAGAAUAAUAUAUUAAAGGAGAAAUCAUAUUGUUUAAUUAAUAUUAGUCAGAAUUAAUAAGAAUUAAGUUUGUGACUAAAAGAGAUUAAUUAAACUUAAGGGACUGUAAUUGUAAUUAUAAUAUAAUUGCAAUUUGGGCUAUGGAUUGCCUUAUAUUAAGGAGUGGACGAAUUCUAUGGGGAAACCCAUUAGAAAUCGUCCAAGGCCUUUAUGGAAAGGAGUCAAUGGGUUGCUUAGGGCUUAAACAUCCAAAUUAGGGUUUCCUUGUUAGAUAAUGCUAAUAGCCUCACUAUAUAUAGUGCCCUUAUGCCUCAAAAACAUUGACAAGCUUCUUUCUAGGGUUUCCACACGUUUUGGGCAGCCUCCUUCUCUUCUCAUCUUCAUCCUCUUGCUUUUGGUGUUUGUGAACCAUUAGAGGAGUGUCAUUUGUGACUCUAAGCUUUCUAAAGUCAUUACAAGGAGGAAUUGUGAUUGUUAUUGCUACAUAACAAUCAAGGUAAUAUCUUAAACCCAUUCUUAUGUUAAUAUGAUUACUUGUAUGCUAGAAUUAGGGUUUAUAGUCUUGGAUAACUUGCAUGUACAAUAGAGAAACCUAGAUCCAAGCAUUAGGGUUUGUAUGAGCACAUAGGAUGUUCUUAUGACCAAAAUCCAUCAGUGGUAUCAGAGCCUUGAUUGGUUUCUAUUGUAUUGAUGCCUUGUAUGUUGAAAAAAUUCGAUUUUUGUGGUUCUGCAUGAUGGACUCGGCGAGUCCCACUGUGGACUCGGCGAGUUGCCCCUACUCGGCGAGUUCAUGGGGGUACUCGGCGAGUUCGAACGUCAGAUGGAACUAUUUUCGGGAUUUCUUGUUGUUUAUCUUUGAGAUACUUGCCUUUAUCAUAUUAGAUCAAUAUAAAUCCGAUUUUAUGAAAUAUAUGAGUAUAUUCUUGAUCUAAUUGAAGAUAUUUAUCAAUUAAUAAAAUAUUUAUUUCCUUAUGUGAUAAUUGAUUAAUUAUUUUGAUUAAAUUGGUAAAUUGUUUUGCAAGAAAUCAUUAAAUAAAUCAAAUAUGGAUAAUUAUGUGAUUAAAUGUUAAUUUAGAUUAUUUGUUAUUUGAUCCUUGUGUUAUGAAAUGUUUCAUAUUUUCCCCUUUAGGUUUUAUAGUUUAAAUUUGACCUCAAAAGUUUUGUUGUUUUGAAAUUUAAAUAGUUGAAACCCUAAUGUUUUGAAAAAGGUUUCAAAACUUGCCCUCAAGUUUUGGAAUUUAAAUUUUGAAUAAAAGUUUAAUUUUGAUGUAUAUUUAAAUUCUAAACCUAAAUGUUUUGAAAUGUUUCAAAACUUGCCCUCAAGUUUUGGAAUUUAAAAGUUGAUUAAAAGGUUUAAUUGAGGAAUGUUAAAUUCUAAAACCCCAGUCAUUUUGAAAAAGUUCAAAUCACACCCUUAUGGUUUUAUUAAUUAAUUAAGGUGUAUAAUUAAAAGAGGUUUAAUAAAUCCAUAAAAGUUUAGGUUUACAAUUUAAUUGAAUUAAAAGUAUAAUUGUUAAAUUUGACCACCUAGUAUUUUAAAAGUGUAAAAUACACCCUAUACUAUAUAUAACAUUAAAAGUCUAACAUUAUAUAUAUGUAUGAGUAAAAGUCAGUCUUACCGUUAGUAGGCCUCAUUCACGAAGCUGGUCUAUAAGGGGUGUUUAAGGAAAUUGCCUAUAAAAUGGCGAUUGAAUGGGUAUCCACUCUUACCCACCGCACUCUUGACUAGUGGAGGGUCGUUAGCCGAACGGGUAGGAUGGGACGAAACCUUCCAUUAUAAGUAUAAUGAAGUAUAAAAGUAACUAAAUGUUUUCAUAAAAUUCCCAAUCUUAGUUACUUAGGCAAAAGUGAAUUGAUGCAAUUCCAUGAAAUUACACUUUGUGCCCUUGCGAAGACGUUAGUGGAGCGUGUGUGGUUUACCGGCACACUAAAUGGUUCUAAGCAAAGGUAGCAAAGGGUGACUCAAUGUUUGUCAUAGUUCGGUGGAGCGUGUGUGGUUUACCGGCACAUCGAAUAGGUGACUGUAACAUGUGAGGGCACCAUGUAAGUUUGCAUGGUUAUUCACACCCGCUUUGUGAUCCUCGGCAUCCCAGUCACAAACAAGAGGGGCAUAUCGAGAUUUAAACAUGCCAUUGAAAUGUUCAAUGAAUCUCAAAGGAUCUAGGAGUUUUCAUAGAUUUAAAACUUAAAUUUCUUUUUCGUUUUUCAUGGUGGAAAUUAGUGAAUCGUCAUUCACUUACCUUCAAAUGUUCUGCAAUUUGGGUUACGGCAUCCCUCUCCCGAGUUGUAGAAUAUUGUGUUGGGUCCUAGCCUUAGUAUCUCAUUUGGGUGAUUUACUAAGGACUCAAUCAAUCAACUAACUUGAAUUCGUUUUCUCCCGUUUUGUAGAUGUCAAAGUACGACAACUAUGGUCUUCCCAAAUCCCGUGGAACAAGCUUUCCGCAUGAAGAUGAUAUUCCACGAUUCGAUCGAGAAACAAGAGAUCAUGCUUCACUUCCUCCUUCUCCUCCAAUUAUUCUCCCUAACCCACAAGUUCGAAGGCUUGAAAAGUUCAAGCUCACUCAAGCCCUUUUGGCAAGUAAACAUGAAGAAGGAAAGUCGGUGUGUGCACACGUCCUAGGGAUGAAGUCACACAUUGAUAGGUUAAGAAUGUUGGGAUCCGUUGUCUGUGAGGAGAUGGCUGUUGAUUGGGUUCUUCAGUCACUUCCUAACUCAUAUAGUGAGUUCGUAAGAGAGUACUAUAUGAUGAACUGCGACGUGACCCUUAUAGAUAUCACCUAUAUGCUUAUUGCUGCUGAAUCAACAAUGGUUUGGCGCAAUAGAAAAGCAAAGUUGAUUGGUGAAUCUGCCUUCAAGACCUCUAUGGAUAUAGACAAUGGCAACGAAAGACAUGCUAUGAUCGAAAAGUUUGAUCAUAAGAGAAAGGCAAUGUCUGAAGUAGUUCCAUGUCCUGUUCCAAAAGAGUCAAUUUGCUUUUAUUGCCAAGAGAAGGGGCAUUGGAGACGAAGCUGCCCUAUUUACCUAAGAGAUCUAAGAGAUGGGAGAGUCAAAACGUAUGGCUCUGCUUUAGGUAAAAUCCAUUGACUAACUCUUUUAAGCUCCUAUUCUAGAUUCUUAAUACAUAAUGUGAUAAGAUUACAAUUGAUGUUUUGUAGGAUCGAAGAAAAGAGAGGAAGCUUAAUGGGAAGAAGUGAGCAGAAUCUAAU